CAGGAUGUCUGUGGGACCCAGUUCAACGGAGCUUCUCGUCUGAAUUCUGUCAACACCCACAGUAGAUGACGCCCACCAGCUCACUUGCUCUUGUGUAGCCAUGCCUCAGAGAUUGGUCUAGCUGAAACACAGUCUGCACUUCUUGAGCCGACAGUCACCAGGCCAGAUGCAUUCUGAUCAAGCCCUCUGGAAAAAGCCCCCUGAAGCAGCAAAAGAGAUCUGAGAUUGGAGUUGUCAAGAGUUUGGAACAGCACAGGCAAAACCCCUGGUUUACAGUUAGAUAGAACAAAGCAUAUGCCUGUGGGCACAGUGAAGGCUUCAUGUCUCGGACUUGGACUUGUCCUGUCUUCUCUCUCAGGAGUCAUCAAGAGGGCGCAUGAACUGGAAAUGAUGCUCUCUGGCCUCUGUGCUGUGAGAAGUGGAGAGGGGACCCAACCCACUCACCCCUGCAUGACAAGAGAGAGGUGGCUUCUGCCCAGGCAUGCACACCCCUGGCCAGGUUCCUUUAGGUGCUGCCCUGACCCGGCUUUGCCCCGCAAGAAUAUGUGAGUGUCCACAGUGAGAUGGCAGGAUCCAGCCGUUACUGUGGGAACUGUCCCAGAGGUGCCAAAAGGUAGCCCAGUUGCUUCCUCCUGGGACUUUCCUGCGUGACCAUGUGGGCUGCAGGAAAGAAAGGAGGGCUUUGUUUCUGGCCAAAGAAAAAUAAAUGGCUGGG